rnacentral:rRNA from 1 species
GAACCGGCGAGUUACGAUUUGUUGCAAGGUUAAGCGGAAAAAGCGGAGCCGUAGCGAAAGCGAGUCUGAAUAGGGCGCAUAAGUAACAGGUCGUAGACCCGAAACCAGGUGAUCUACCCAUGUCCAGGAUGAAGGUAAGGUAAUACUUACUGGAGGUCCGAACCCACGCACGUUGAAAAGUGCGGGGAUGAGGUGUGGGUAGCGGAGAAAUUCCAAUCGAACUUGGAGAUAGCUGGUUCUCUCCGAAAUAGCUUUAGGGCUAGCCUCGAGGUAAAGAGUCAUGGAGGUAGAGCACUGUUUGGACUAGGGGCCCUUCUCGGGUUACCGAAUUCAGAUAAACUCCGAAUGCCAUGUACUUAUACUCGGGAGUCAGACUGCGAGUGAUAAGAUCCGUAGUCGAAAGGGAAACAGCCCAGACCACCAGUUAAGGUCCCCAAAUAUAUGUUAAGUGGAAAAGGAUGUGGGGUUGCUUAGACAACCAGGAUGUUGGCUUAGAAGCAGCCACCAUUGAAAGAGUGCGUAAUAGCUCACUGGUCGAGUGACCCCGCGCCGAAAAUGUACCGGGGCUAAACAUAUUACCGAAACUGUGGAUGAACCUCUUUAGAGGUUCGUGGUAGGAGAGCGUUCUAAGGGCGGUGAAGUCAGACCGGAAGGACUGGUGGAGCGCUUAGAAGUGAGAAUGCCGGUAUGAGUAGCGAAAGAAGGGUGAGAAUCCCUUCCACCGAAUAUCUAAGGUUUCCUGAGGAAGGCUCGUCCGCUCAGGGUUAGUCGGGACCUAAGCCGAGGCCGAUAGGCGUAGGCGAUGGACAACAGGUAGAGAUUCCUGUACCAGUGCUAAUUGUUUAACCGAUGGGGUGACACAGAAGGAUAGGGAAUCGCACGAAUGGAAAUGUGCGUCCAAGCAGUGAGUGUGAGAAGUAGGCAAAUCCGCUUCUCGCGAAGCAUGAGCUGUGAUGGGGAAGGAAAUUAAGUACGGAAGUUCCUGAUUUCACGCUGUCAAGAAAAGCCUCUAGGAAGAGUAGUACUGCCCGUACCGCAAACCGACACAGGUAGAUGAGGAGAGAAUCCUAAGGUGAGCGAGAGAACUCUCGUUAAGGAACUCGGCAAAAUGACCCCGUAACUUCGGGAGAAGGGGUGCUCUAUUAGGGUGCAAGCCCGAGAGAGCCGCAGUGAAUAGGCCCAGGCGACUGUUUAGCAAAAACACAGGUCUCUGCAAAACCGUAAGGUGACGUAUAGGGGCUGACGCCUGCCCGGUGCUGGAAGGUUAAGAGGAGUGCUUAGCUUCGGCGAAGGUACGAAUUGAAGCCCCAGUAAACGGCGGCCGUAACUAUAACGGUCCUAAGGUAGCGAAAUUCCUUGUCGGGUAAGUUCCGACCCGCACGAAAGGCGCAACGAUCUGGGCACUGUCUCAACGAGAGACUCGGUGAAAUUAUAGUACCUGUGAAGAUGCAGGUUACCCGCGACAGGACGGAAAGACCCCGUGGAGCUUUACUGCAACCUGAUAUGGAAUGUUUGUACCGCUUGUACAGGAUAGGUAGGAGCCGAAGAGACGUGUGCGCUAGCAUACGAGGAGGCAAUGGUGGGAUACUACCCUGGCUGUAUGACCAUUCUAACCCGCCACGCUUAGCGCGUGGGGAGACAGUGUCAGGUGGGCAGUUUGACUGGGGCGGUCGCCUCCUAAAGAGUAACGGAGGCGCCCAAAGGUUCCCUCAGAAUGGAUGGAAAUCAUUCGCAGAGUGUAAAGGCACAAGGGAGCUUGACUGCGAGACUGACAAGUCGAGCAGGGACGAAAGUCGGGCUUAGUGAUCCGGUGGUUCCGCAUGGAAGGGCCAUCGCUCAACGGAUAAAAGCUACCCCGGGGAUAACAGGCUUAUCUCCCCCAAGAGUCCACAUCGACGGGGAGGUUUGGCACCUCGAUGUCGGCUCGUCGCAUCCUGGGGCUGUAGUCGGUCCCAAGGGUUGGGCUGUUCGCCCAUUAAAGCGGCACGCGAGCUGGGUUCAGAACGUCGUGAGACAGUUCGGUCCCUAUCCGUCGCGGGCGCAGGAAAUUUGAGAGGAGCUGUCCUUAGUACGAGAGGACCGGGAUGGACACACCGCUGGUGUACCAGUUGUUCCGCCAGGAGCAUCGCUGGGUAGCUAUGUGUGGCAGGGAUAAACGCUGAAAGCAUCUAAGCGUGAAGCCCCCCUCAAGAUGAGAUUUCCCAUUUCUUCGGAAAGUAAGAUCCCUGAAAGAUGAUCAGGUAGAUAGGUUUGGAGUGGAAGUGUAGCGAUACAUGGAGCGGACAAAUACUAAUCGAUCGAGGACUUAACCAAAA